rnacentral:rRNA from 1 species
GGACCCGCACAAGCAGCGGAGCAUGUGGUUUAAUUCGAAGCAACGCGAAGAACCUUACCAGAACUUGACAUCCCUCUGACCGGACCUUAAUCGGUCCUUCUCUUCGGAGCAGAGGAGACAGGUGGUGCAUGGUUGUCGUCAGCUCGUGUCGUGAGAUGUUGGGUUAAGUCCCGCAACGAGCGCAACCCUUGUCAUUAGUUGCCAUCAUUCAGUUGGGCACUCUAAUGAGACUGCCGGGGAUAACUCGGAGGAAGGUGGGGAUGACGUCAAAUCAUCAUGCCCCUUAUGUUCUGGGCUACACACGUGCUACAAUGGUCGGUACAAAGAGAAGCAAGACGGUGACGUGGAGCCAAUCUCAAAAGCCGAUCCCAGUUCGGAUUGUAGGCUGCAACUCGCCUACAUGAAGUCGGAGUUGCUAGUAAUCGCAGAUCAGAAUGCUGCGGUGAAUGCGUUCCCGGGUCUU